ACAUUCAGUCAUUGACAU
rnacentral:miRNA from 1 species